GUCCUUGUCGAUUAGUGGUUAAAUCACGACGUUGUGGUCUGAUGACGAUACCGUCGAGCCGCUGGUUCGAUUCCAGCCUGGGACA